rnacentral:tRNA from 2 species
GGGCCCUUGGCGGAAUUGGCAGACGCAGGGGACUUAAAAUCCCUCGCCGGUCACACGGCAUCCCGGUUCGAGUCCGGGAGGGCCCA